GCGAGUGUGAGCGAAUCUCAAAAAUAACGUCUCAGUUCGGAUUGUAGUCUGCAACUCGACUACAUGAAGCUGGAAUCGCUAGUAAUCGCGGAUCAGAAUGCCGCGGUGAAUACGUUCCCGGGUCUUGUACACACCGCCCGUCACACCAUGGGAGUCGGUAACACCCAAAGUUGGUAGUCUAACCGCAAGGAGGACGCCGCCUAAGGUGGGAUUGAUGACUGGGGUGAAGUCGUAACAAGGUAAC
rnacentral:rRNA from 1 species